GACGUAGGGCGCGAGCGUUGUCCGGAUUUAUUGGGCGUAAAGAGCUCGUAGGCGGCUUGUCGCGUCGACCGUGAAAACUUGGGGCUCAACUCCAAGCCUGCGGUCGAUACGGGCAGGCUAGAGUUCGGUAGGGGAGACUGGAAUUCCUGGUGUAGCGGUGAAAUGCGCAGAUAUCAGGAGGAACACCGGUGGCGAAGGCGACACGCUGGGCCGUACCUGACGCUAAAGCGCGACAGCAUGGGGAGCAAACGGG
rnacentral:rRNA from 1 species